rnacentral:rRNA from 1 species
UACGUAGAUCCCGAGCGUUGUCCGGAUUUAUUGGGCGUAAAGCGAGCGCAGGUGGUUUAUUAAGUCUGGUGUAAAAGGCAGUGGCUCAACCAUUGUAUGCAUUGGAAACUGGUAGACUUGAGUGCAGGAGAGGAGAGUGGAAUUCCAUGUGUAGCGGUGAAAUGCGUAGAUAUAUGGAGGAACACCGGUGGCGAAAGCGGCUCUCUGGCCUGUAACUGACGCUGAGGCUCGAAAGCGUGGGGAGCAAACAGG